UGCUACUGCUACUACUACUAUUACUAU
rnacentral:piRNA from 1 species